rnacentral:tRNA from 1 species
GUGCUUGUAGCUCAAUCGGAUAGAGUAUUAGACUACGAAUCUAAAGGUUGGAAGUUCGAGCCUUCCCAAGCAUA